rnacentral:tRNA from 1 species
CUGGGUAUGGUGAAAUAGGUAGACACCCAGGAUUUAGGUUCCUGUGGCUUAGGCCGUGUGGGUUCGAAUCCCAUUACCCAGACCA